GACGAACGCUGGCGGCGUGCUUAACACAUGCAAGUCGAACGGAAAGGCCCUGCUUUUGUGGGGUGCUCGAGUGGCGAACGGGUGAGUAACACGUGAGUAACCUGCCCUUGGCUUUGGGAUAACUUCAGGAAACUGGGGCUAAUACCGGAUAGGAGCUCCUGCUGCAUGGUGGGGGUUGGAAAGUUUCGGCGGUUGGGGAUGGACUCGCGGCUUAUCAGCUUGUUGGUGGGGUAGUGGCUUACCAAGGCUUUGACGGGUAGCCGGCCUGAGAGGGUGACCGGCCACAUUGGGACUGAGAUACGGCCCAGACGCCUACGGGAGGCAGCAGUGGGGAAUAUUGCACAAUGGGCGGAAGCCUGAUGCAGCAACGCCGCGUGCGGGAUGACGGCCUUCGGGUUGUAAACCGCUUUCGCCUGUGACGAAGCGUGAGUGACGGUAAUGGGGAAAGAAGCACCGGCUAACUACGU
rnacentral:rRNA from 1 species